GAUGAACGCUAGCUACAGGCUUAACACAUGCAAGUCGAGGGGAAACGAUAUUGGAAGCUUGCUUCCGAUAGGCGUCGACCGGCGCACGGGUGAGUAACGCGUAUCCAACCUGCCCACCACUUGGGGAUAACCUUGCGAAAGUAAGACUAAUACCCAAUGACGUCUCUAGAAGACAUCUGAAAGAGAUUAAAGAUUUAUCGGUGAUGGAUGGGGAUGCGUCUGAUUAGCUUGUUGGCGGGGUAACGGCCCACCAAGGCAACGAUCAGUAGGGGUUCUGAAAGGAAGGUCCCCCACAUUGGAACUGAGACACGGUCCAAACUCCUACGGGAGGCAGCAGUGAGGAAUAUUGGUCAAUGGGCGAGAGCCUGAACCAGCCAAGUAGCGUGCAGGAUGACGGCCCUAUGGGUUGUAAACUGCUUUUAUAAGGGAAUAAAGUGAGCCUCGUGAGGCUUUUUGCAUGUACCUUAUGAAUAAGGACCGGCUAAUUCCGUG
rnacentral:rRNA from 1 species